GCAGUGGGGAAUAUGAUGUCACAAACCUGGAGUGAGAUUCUCUUCUCACCUCCCUCCUUCCGUUUCUUCCUCCAUCUCUAAAGGACCCUUUUUGGAUAAUCUGGCUAUUCAGAGAUCUGGAUAUUUGUUUCAAAAGGCCGGUGGUAGCUGGUCCGCUGCAGGAAAAUGAGGUACGGGAGGUCCCUCCACCCCCCCUGGACAUCGGGGGGCCCCCGGUGUACACAGUCCGGUCCAUCUUGGACUCCAGACGCUGGGCGAGGGGCCUGCAGUACCUCGUGGACUG
rnacentral:lncRNA from 1 species